CCCCCUACUAUGUCGCAUGAUCCACCCAUCUUAUGAUUAGAAGCUAAAUGAAAAAAAGAAAAAAAAAGAGCAAGGAAGAUGGCAGAAGCAAGACCAACAAAUGAAAUGAGAAAAGCAAGCAUCGACAAAGAGGGACCUAGGGAUGUGCUGGGAGACCAACCUGUGAUUGAGCAAGCACGUGAUGGAGGGUGUCAGAGAAAAUAGCCGAA
rnacentral:lncRNA from 1 species